UACGUAGGGCGCAAGCGUUAUCCGGAAUUAUUGGGCGUAAAGAGCUCGUAGGCGGUUUGUCGCGUCUGCCGUGAAAGCCCGGGGCUUAACCCCGGGUCUGCAUUCGAUACGGGCAGGCUAGAGUGUGGUAGGGGAGACUGGAAUUCCUGGUGUAGCGGUGAAAUGCGCAGAUAUCAGGAGGAACACCGAUGGCGAAGGCAGGUCUCUGGGCCACUACUGACGCUGAGAAGCGAAAGCGUGGGGAGCAAACAGG
rnacentral:rRNA from 1 species